rnacentral:rRNA from 1 species
GUAAGGAAUAUUGGACAAUGGACGCAAGUCUGAUCCAGCCAUGCCGCGUGAAGGAUUAAGGUCCUCUGGAUUGUAAACUUCUUUUAUAAGGGACGAAAAAAGGCUUUUCUAAGUCGUCUGACGGUACCUUAUGAAUAAGCACCGGCUAACUCCGUGCCAGCAGCCGCGGUAAUACGGAGGGUGCAAGCGUUAUCCGGAUUCACUGGGUUUAAAGGGUGAGUAGGCGGGCAGGUAAGUCAGUGGUGAAAUCCUAGAGCUUAACUCUAGAACUGCCAUUGAUACUAUCUGUCUUGAAUAUUGUGGAGGUAAGCGGAAUAUGUCAUGUAGCGGUGAAAUGCUUAGAUAUUACAUAGAACACCUAUUGCGUAGGCAGCUUACUACGCAUAUAUUGACGCUGAGGCACGAAAGCGUGGGGAUCAAACAGGAUUAGAUACCCGUGUAGUCC